UACGUAGGUGGCAAGCGUUGUCCGGAAUUAUUGGGCGUAAAGCGCGCGCAGGCGGAAAUUUAAGUCUAUCUUAAAAGUGCGGGGCUCAACCCCGUGAUGGGAUAGAAACUGGAUUUCUUGAGUGUCGGAGAGGACAGUGGAAUUCCCAGUGUAGCGGAGAAAUGCGUAGAUAUUGGGAGGAACACCAGUGGCGAAGGCGACUGUCUGGACGAUGUCUGACGCUGAGGCGCGAAAGCCAGGGUAGUGAACG
rnacentral:rRNA from 1 species